rnacentral:rRNA from 1 species
GAGUUUGAUCUUGGCUCAGAGCGAACGCUGGCGGCAGGCCUAAUACAUGCAAGUCGAACGCACCUUCGGGUGAGUGGCGGACGGGUGAGUAACGCGUGGGAACGUGCCCUUUGGUUCGGAAUAACUCAGGGAAACUUGAGCUAAUACCGGAUGUGCCCUUCGGGGGAAAGAUUUAUCGCCAUUGGAGCGGCCCGCGUUGGAUUAGCUAGUUGGUGGGGUAAAGGCUCACCAAGGCUCCGAUCCAUAGCUGGUCUGAGAGGAUGAUCAGCCACACUGGGACUGAGACACGGCCCAGACUCCUACGGGAGGCAGCAGUAGGGAAUCUUGCGCAACGGGGCGAAAGCCUGACGCAGCCAUGCCGCGUGAAUGAUGAAGGUCUUAGGAUUGUAAAAUUCUUUCACCGGGAAGAUAAUGACGGUACCCGGAGAAGAAGCCCCGGCUAACUUCGUGCCAGCCGCCGCAGUAAU